rnacentral:rRNA from 1 species
GAUGAACGCUAGCUACAGGCUUCCCUCAAGAAAGUCGAGGGGCAGCAUUUUAGUUUGCUUGCAAACUAAAGAUGGCGACCGGCGCACGGGUGAGUAACACUUAUCCAACCUGCCGAUAACUCGGGGAUAGCCUUUCAAAAGAAAGAUUAAUAUCCGAUAGUAUAUUAAAACCGCAUGGUUUUACUAUUAAAGAAUUUCGGUUAUCGAUGGGGAUGCGUUCCAUUAGUUUGUUGGCGGGGUAACGGCCCACCAAGGCGACAAUCGGUAGCCGGACUGAGAGGUUGAACGGCCACAUUGGGACUGAGACACGGCCCAAACUCCUACGGGAGGCAGCAGUGGGGAAUAUUGCACAAUGGGGGAAACCCUGAUGCACCGACCCCGCGUGGAGGAAGAAGGUCUUCGGAUUGUAAACUCCUGUUGUUGGGGAAGAUAAUGACGGUACCCAACAAGGAAAUGACGGCUAACUACGUG